GUACAGCGGUAAAAUAGGUCGGUACAGGUACAACGAUUGUACCGAGUUGCUUGCAUGGUUCUAGCGCUGUACAUGGUGACAGACAUACAAUUUUCGAAGUACAGCGGUAGAACAGCUGUAUGUCUGUCAUAAGUAUAACCAAUUUAUAGCGAAUUCGUUUUUAAAACUGAGUCAGUGCCAAACUGACUCUGUAAUAAAAAAACGUUUUCAGUUUCACGAAUGCGGUGGUUUGUUGGUGUGCGUUAUAUAGUUUGAUUCGUUUAUAUUUGCGACGACAAAUGUACAGUUUCGACAUCUGGUGGUGAUAUUAGUGCUUGGGAGAUUUUCCAAAACAAUACUCGGAACUUGACAGUUCAGUAUAGUUGUAUUGGUGAACCCGAGUGCCAACCCGUGAAACACCUCAGUGCGAAACUAACAGCUUUCGGGGCGAACUAGUGCGACACUGAGUGCGAAACUGAGUGAAUAAAAAAACGUUUUGACAGCAGUUAGUGCAGUACUAGGGUUGAAACUGAACAAAAACGAAUUCGCUAUUACACUGGAGAAAUAGUUUAGUAAAAGCAGCUACCAAAUCUUUAGUAGCCAAAACAUUGGUAAAAUAUACAAAUGUUUUGUAAAUAUUACCAAAAUUGCGUAAAAGCAAUGUCAGACGCAAUGAACGUUCCUACCAGAGAUUCGUAGAUUUUACUUCAUACCAUUAGUAACUUUGUUUUUUUGUCAUACCUAACAUCUGUGAUGUGCGCACUUUGCAAUCGCCAUUUCUAUUUUGGAGAUGAAGCGAUUCGGAGAGACACGAGAGAACAAACACUCCCUAAAUAAUGCAAACUAGAGCGAUGCAGCAGGAAGAGGAACGGGAACUUUCUUCGUGUACGCUGCUCAUAGAAUAAGU